rnacentral:lncRNA from 1 species
ACCUAUUGCUCUUCCUCUUCCUUAUUCUGCUUCAUUUGCCUUGGUCUUCUUGCUCUUCUUUCAACAAACCAAAGCAAAUUCUUGCCUAAGAGCCUCUGUCCUGCACAACAACCUCUCCCUUAGUUAUGUGAAUGACUGGCUCACUCUGCUGAAAUUUUCACUCUGAGGGAGCUCUUCCAUCCGUAACUUUGUUUAAAUAAUCAAUUCCAGGCUCUUCACCCUUUUCUAUGCUUUAUUUUUAUCCAUCACACUUAUUCCCCAGCAUUUUACUAGGUAUUUCUUUAUGAUUUCUCUUCCAAUAGGAUAUGAGUCUUUAGGUGGUGAGGAAUUUCUUCUCUCUCACUUCCUGUUUUUCCUGUUAAAUAGAUGACAAUCUUGACAAUUUCAGUGUAACCCGGCAGCUUUUUGGCAUCUCCCUGGGGUGUUUGCUGAGAACUCAGUGCACCCUGACCUUCAGAUCCCUCUGAGUUGGUAAGCAAUCUUCCCUAGCAUUUAUUUAUGCUGAAGGAGGAGAACAAUGAGAAGCAAUUGAGACCCAAGAGAGCCUGUCGUGUGCAAAUGCAGAAGAACCAAGAAAGCUGUAAAAUUGCCUCCCCUCCCAGCCAGCCCUGUUCGGGAGAAUGGAACCUUCCAUUAACCCUGUUUAAGGGACUGACUUUCCACCUCUGGGUACAGCCACCAUGGUCAAGUCCUGCAUCUGGACCUGGGCGGCAGGAUGGGACCUGGGCUGGGGAGAGGAUGAAUUCACGUGCACCGAAUGUCUCAAAGGCAGACGUCUGUGAGCCUGCGCUAGUUAAGGAAAGGAUGAUUUCAAGGCAGCUGGGGGUGACAACAGUGUGAUGAUGUCAAUUCAAAUUGUAAGAUUUUUUGAUUGAAGUCGCUCAGCCAU